CUUCAAGGCAAGUUUAUUGAAGUACACCUGUGUCAGACUCUUUCCAUAUGCUACGUGGAGUUGCACCCUUUGUAUGCCCAGGUUUUCUUGAUGUUUGGAAACUUGAAAUGUCCUCUGUGCAGCAAGGAGGCUAGACAGUGAAAAUUCCAGAAGAAAAGGAGAAGAUGACAUUUCUUCACAGUCUCUUCUGUGUGUAGCUGAACCAACAACAUAAGAAAACUGUUUUCUGUGGGCAUGGGCAGUUUUUCUCCUGCAAUGAAAUGGAAACCUAAAAUCUUAGGUUCUAAGAGCAACCAAAAGACAAAGGUGAACCUAGAGGAAGGGAGAAAAGAGGCACAACUGGAGGGCUACACCCAGACGCACCACGGGAUUCAUCAGCCCAUCACAGCCCUGCCCAGCAGCUCAGAGGAUAAGAGGAGUACAAUGUCAACUGAGAACCCGAAUUAAACACUCAGAGAAAGAGACAGUCUGUCCAGGCCAUUCCCAGGGCUGUCUCAAGAGAACCUGGUUCAGAUGUCACAGCUACCACAUGAGUUUGUAAGAUUAUUUUACUGAAU
rnacentral:lncRNA from 1 species